UUUUGCAUGUGGCAUCGGUCGGGUCCGAUUGGCACAGAAUCCGGAAUUUGGAAUUUGUCCUUUGCAAGUAUUUUCUUUGGCAGGCAAAGCCACGGGUUUUAAUCGAUAAGGAAUCCACACUCACUCACUCACACUUUGGACCUCACGUUCAUCUCAUCUGCAUUUAAAAAGAAACAAGCAAGACCUUUACACAAAUCAUGAACAUUGCAGCAAGAUCAACAAAUAGAACACAGAUUAAAAACAUCAGCUGCCACGACAUGACUCACUGUUUGUGAUGUCAGCAAAGCCCGUCCGUCCGUUGCAGGUUAACGCAGAAAUGCACUAAGUGUGCUAGUAGUAGUAGUAAUGCAUUGAAGGUGGUUUGUCAGGGAAAGUCACCAUGACAUGUUAGUGAGUGAGUGAGUGACUGAGUCGUGUUGAGGUGUGACAUUGAGCUGCGGGAUAAAGAAGGAUUGAGACGAGCAUAAUCCCUCACACAUGACCGCUAAAACACAAACACAGCCACCGGGGACAGGACAGCAAGUCACCUCAUUGAAACAUACAUCUCCUCAACAUAUGACAAAAAAAUGCUUUUUGAAAUAACAACAAAAUACAGGCACACGUGCACAUUGUCCUCUUAAUAUAUGAAAUUUUUUGACAAUACAUUUCUUUCGAACAUUGAAAACAAUGAUCCUAACCCAAUAACCAAAAGGUUGAAUCAAAUAACAAAAUAAGCACAUAGCGUUAGGGAUGCCAGACGAUGACGCUGCGAAAUCCUCUGCUGCCCUCUUGUGGCAAAGAAACACUUUGGCAGCAUUAAGUGAUGGCCCGUUGAGUUGCUAUGGCAACCGCACUGGCGAUUAACACUGCAUCAAUUGAAUGCACCUUCUGCUGUUCCCACCUUGGCCCACCUGGGGGCAGUGUAAAACAGACCGAUGUUUCUGAACCACUUUUCUUCACGAUAUAAGGUUUAAUUAUCUUUUGUUUAUGGUUGAUUUGACAGUAAACUUCAAAUGAGAGUGGCAUUAAUUAGAAGCCUCCUCUUUUUUUUUUUUUUUUUUUUAAAGAAUUGUUCACUAUUUGACGUUGUGUAGCUUCAAAUCAGUACUGUAAGUCUUACCCACGAGUUUCAGCCAGCCGAGUUCCAUGUCAGUGUGCCGUGACUUUGCCGUCGUCGUAGCGGGCAGGCGGGCACUUUGGUCGAGCAAACCAGUGCGAAACCUUGGGCAACUUGGCUGCUUCUUUUCUUUUCUACACAAAUAACUUUACUUUUCAAUUCAUACUUUCUUCUUCUGGUCUCUCAAAUAGUAUAUUGUUGGGUGUGUUAUCCGCAUGCGGACACUACACCGCCCCCAAGAGGCCGAAGUGUGCAUAGCAGGAACAUUACUGUACUAAUGUUAUUUACUGAGGUUAGAUAAAAUAUUCAUAGUAAAUACUUUAAAGAGGAAAGGAGUUGCGUGUUAUUUUUAUUCUUCAAAAAUAAUGAUUUAAA